GAUGAACGCUGGCGGCGUGCCUAAUACAUGCAAGUCGAGCGAAUGGAUUGAGAGCUUGCUCUUAUGAAGUUAGCGGCGGACGGGUGAGUAACACGUGGGUAACCUGCCCAUAAGACUGGGAUAACUCCGGGAAACCGGGGCUAAUACCGGAUAACAUUUUGAACCGCAUGGUUCGAAAUUGAAAGGCGGCUUCGGCUGUCACUUAUGGAUGGACCCGCGUCGCAUUAGCUAGUUGGUGAGGUAACGGCUCACCAAGGCAACGGUGCGUAGCCGACCUGAGCGGGUGAUCGGCCACAAUGGGACUGAGACACGGCCCAGACUCCUACGGGAGGCAGCAGUAGGGAAUCUUCCGCAAUGGACGAAAGUCUGACGGAGCAACGCCGCGUGAGUGAUGAAGGCUUUCGGGUCGUAAAUCUCUGUUGUUAGGGAAGAACAAGCGCUAGUUGAAUAAGCUGGCACCUUGACGGUACCUAACCAGAAAGCCACGGCUAACUACGUGCCAGCCGCCGCCGUA
rnacentral:rRNA from 1 species